rnacentral:rRNA from 1 species
GAUUAACGCUGGCGGCAUGCCUAAUACAUGCAAGUCGAACGGAAGCAGCAAUGCUUUAGUGGCGAACGGGUGAGUAACACGUAGGGAACCUACCUAUACGACGAGGAUAACUACUGGAAACGGUAGCUAAAACUGGAUAGGAUCAAUUGAGGCAUCUUGAUUGAUUUAAAGAUCCUUCGGGAUUACGUAGAGAUGGUCCCUGCGGCGCAUUAGCUAGUUGGUGAGGUAACGGCCCACCAAGGCGACGAUGCGUAGCUGAGCUGAGAGGCUAAACAGCCACACUGGGACUGAGACACGGCCCAGACUCCUACGGGAGGCAGCAGUAGGGAAUUUUCGGCAAUGGGGGAAACCCUGACCGAGCAAUGCCGCGUGAACGAUGAAGGUCUUCGGAUUGUAAAGUUCUGUGAUUGGGGAAGAAUGGUAUUCUUAGGGAAUGAGGAGUACAUGACGGUACCCGAUUAGAAAGCCCCGGCUAACUAUGUGCCAGCAGCCGCGG